rnacentral:rRNA from 1 species
UACGUAGGGUGCAAGCGUUGUCCGGAAUUAUUGGGCGUAAAGAGCUCGUAGGCGGUUUGUUGCGUCGGCUGUGAAAUCCCGAGGCUCAACCUCGGGUCUGCAGUCGAUACGAGCAAACUAGAGUGUUGCAGGGGAGACUGGAAUUCCUGGUGUAGCGGUGAAAUGCGUAGAUAUCUGGAGGAACACCGGUGGCGAAGGCGGCAUCCUGGACCGACACUGACGCUGAGGAGCGAAAGCCAGGGGAGCAAACGGG